UUUUAUGCUUAAUAUCCAAUAAUGGGUUCCACCUAUUUCAGAGAAAAAUUCAAAACUUUCAACGACAUUCAAAGUCUUACAUGCUCUUGCUCUCAGCUGCCUUUCUGACCUCAUCAUCAACUGCCUUUCUCCUUACUCUCUUCCACCCACAUUGCUCUCCACGCUAUAACUAGAAUAUGCCCAAGUACUUUCCUGCCUUAGGGCCACUAUCUGAAAUACUUUUUCUCUGUUACAUCGUUCACUCUUUUCUCUAUUUCAGGUCUUUAAAUUUACACUUCUUGCUGAGGACUUUCCUAACCAUGCCAUUUCAAAUCAUAACCCCCCUUCCUCCUUCAUAUCACCUCUUAUCCUCUUUCCUUUAUUUCCUUUCCUCCAUAGCACCUAUCAUCAUGUAACAUUCUUAACUAGAUUUUAUUCACUGUUUCUUUCAAUAAGAAGAAAAGCUGCAUGAAGACAGAGAUUUUUCCUCUUUUGUUCACUGCUUUAUCCCAAAUGUCAAGUAUGGUGCUUGGUACAAAAAGAUACUCAGUAAAUUUUUGCUGUUUAAUGACUCUACAGAUGCUGUAUCUGAAGCUGUACCAAGGUGUUAUCCUUGGUGCUAAGACAAUGAAUUAAGCUUGGGGUCAUCUGAAAACUUUUAAGUGUUCAUAGGAUGAAUGAUUGCUGUAAUAUCACAAGAUGCCCAGAGAUAACAAGAGAAAGGACCAUAAGGAAGAUCAUUUUGAGAAUCAGGAAUGCUAAAGGUUUAAAUUAUUCCAGACGGUGACAGCAAAAUCACUGAGAAGUUUGCAAUAUUGAAGAACAGAAGAAAACAUUUUUAACAAAAUAUUGUGAAAUACCCCAGAAUGAAAAGCAGGGUUACCUGGCUGGAUGACACGCAGAGAUGUGGCCCGACUUCUCAAGAGAAGCUUUCCUUCACACUUCUUACCGUACCCUUAAUUGGAAAAACUGGGUCUUGCUAAGUCACUUGGUUGCCCAGCCUGGCUUUGAACUUAUCAUCCUCCUGCCUCAGAUCCCCAGAGUGGUGAGAUUAACAAGUUAGUCCUCGAAGGUCUUCUUCCGGUGAGGCUCCUAAAGAUGAUGCUGAAGCCAAGUGUAUCUUCUCCUGUCUCCAUUCUCAUGCCCUGGGGCCACCUUGGUUAAUGGGUCUUUCGGAUUUCUUCCCUGAGGUGGUUACAGCUUCUGGAUUUGUUUGAAAAAUCUUAGAUCCUCUUUCUGACUCUGCUAUUAUUAUGGGGUUCCCCCCAUCAGCCAGAAACUGCAUUUGACUCAAGCUCUUAGAAUUUCAUAGUUUUGAAAGUCCUUAAAGGUCAUCAAGUCUAACAUCUCCAUCCUACUCACCUUCUGAUAUUUGAAUCUUCUCUGUACCAGAAGAAGUAUCUCAAGUGCCUUUCUAACUUUUGUUUGAAUGCCUCCAAUGACAAGGAACUUACUACUUCACAAGCAUCUCAUUUCAUCUGCCUAUGAAGUUUCUUAUUCUACUGAAUUGUCGUCUAAAUCCUGGCUUCUACCUACUGAAAGAGACAGUUCAUCACUGAAGAAGAAAUCAAGUCAAAUUGGCUAGCAGGAAGAAACUCUUUGGGAAUCCUUAGCUUCAUUAGAAGUACACUUUUGUUCAAAUGAAGUGUUAAAAUUAAAGCAGUAUAUAUCUGAGUGGGGCCAAUUGGCAUGAACUCAUCACAGCAUAUGGUGUGCUUCCUUUUAUAUGCAUGUUUAGCAGCUAGUGGGUACCAAACCUCGCACAGCUCUCAAUUGCUAGCACUAAUGAAGGAUCUGUUUGCCUUUGGGGAUAAAGAUGGUAUCACUGAUUCACAGUUGUUUUUCCAGGAGUGAAGAACAGAUUUUACUUCCUCAUUCAAACUCUUGCUUGGUCCUUUCCCUUCCCCACUACCACUGUCCUAAUUCAGGCACCAUUCUCUCUUGCCAGGAUUGUUCACUUGCCUCUACCUGGCCUUCCAGCUUCCAGUUCUGGCCCUCUCUGGUCUAAGGUAACAUUGCCAGGGGAAUCUUAAUGUCACAGAUUUGAGGUAUCACUUCUGGAUCAAAAUGCUUCAGUGACUCCUCUUAGCUCCAGCAUGGAGUCUAAAUUUCUUAGCAUGGCAAAUAGGUAGGGAAAAGUCAGAGGGUCACAUGUGGACUAGGAUAAGGUUAAUUGUUCUCAAUCAGGAACAACUGAGGCUCCAAAGUCGUAUAGUGCCUUCUAGAACAAUAGGUCAUAUAUGUAUAACUGCAAAUUACACAAUUAAUUUACUG
ensembl:lncRNA